rnacentral:lncRNA from 1 species
AGAUUUAGCUGGUGGUGCAGAGAUCCGUGAGCUUGCUUUUACAGGACUUUAAUGAUAUAUAAAAGCAGCACGAGGUGCUCCUGACUGUGGAUUAAUUUGGAGAUGACUUUCUCUGUUGAAGAGUAGCAAGACUCUCGCGAGUUCUUAAAAAUGCACUUGUUUGGUAUGAGAAUGAAAAGCAGUGGCUGAAGAACCAAUCUUCAAUGGGCAAGCCUUCUCUGAUGCCUUGUUGGUGGUAUAGUGUGAAUCCAUUAGCACUGAACUCAGGACCAGCAAUGGUGUGACUCAGGCCUGAAGGAAGCUUUUCUAGCACAUGGAUUUCCUCUUGUCUGUUCUAACACGUGCCAUUUGGGAUCCCUUGGAAUCUUCAUGUACAGAACUGGUUGCUGCCUCGUUGAGUCGGUGGGGACAGAAUAGCUCCUGGUUGACAGCAUGGGUUGUGCAGAAGGACGGAUCCUGCAGACAUCAAUAUCUGGCUUUGAGUGGCACAAAGAAAUAAAGGAAUGUGGAUUCAGACCUCACUGGGAUGCUUGGCAAUUCUAAUUCUACCCCAGACUGCAAAUGGACACACAACUGUUGUGACUUUUGUUGAAGAGGAGAAGGAUGGGUGAGCAUGUGACGUUGGGAAAUUGUAUUUUCUUCUUCGAGUUCUUCUGUUUCCGAAUAUUUAAUCCUACUGUUUUCUUCUUUAGUGAAGGUCUCUUUAGUCAAUAAUCUCUUUGCUGAAAUUGCUUCGGGCAGCACAGAAGCUGGAUUCAGAAGCACACAGGUCUGGGGAUGCAGGCUUCGGCCAGCCUGAUGCAAGGAAAGACUGCCAUCUCGUGGUCAGCUCAAUCCUGGCACCUUGGUGAGGGACCAGGCUGCAGAAAACCAGGCUUGGGGAGGAAACGGUGCUGCAAACUGGAUUUCUGCCGGACAGUGUGGAUGCCCUUAGAAAACACCCAGAAAAGAGCUGAGUGCCCCCCAAGGUAGGCUUCAGUGAAUCCUCUGCAGGUGUGUUGUCAUCCCUUGAGCCAAACACAUGCUUCACACACACGCUGCAGGCUGCGUGAAAAUGAGGUAGAAAUGUGGGGAAAACAUAAUCCCAUGGAGAGAACAAAGAGCUGAACACGUAAAUGCCUCCGGCGUGCCUGGCAGAGAGAACACUCAGGCUGAGAGAAGGGACAGUGACUUGUACCAAAGGUAGGCAAGUAGCCUCUGGGGUCUCAAUCAGCAGGGCAUCUGGUCAACCCUUCAGACAAAGUCAGGUCUGAGCAGGCAAGAUCCAUGGAUCUGAUUUAUUAAUAUUUUUACAAUUAAAUAGAAUCUGAUUGUAAAACUGUUACAUGUGUUGUAAGAAAAAAAGAAAAAAAGGAAGGAUAUAGAAAUGUACAAAGAAGGAAAUAAAAGACUGGAAGCGUCCUCA